UACGUAGGGUCCGAGCGUUGUCCGGAAUUACUGGGCGUAAAGAGCUCGUAGGUGGUUUGUCGCGUUGUUCGUGAAAACUCACAGCUUAACUGUGGGCGUGCGGGCGAUACGGGCAGACUUGAGUACUGCAGGGGAGACUGGAAUUCCUGGUGUAGCGGUGGAAUGCGCAGAUAUCAGGAGGAACACCGGUGGCGAAGGCGACUCUUUGGUCUGUAACUGACGCUGAGGCGCGAAAGCGUGGGGAGCAAACAGG
rnacentral:rRNA from 1 species